CAACAGUUUAAUGAAAAGGAAAUUCAAGUGGUCUCUUAUCCUAAUAAGCUUUUUGCUGAUAUGAAAAAUGAGCCACUGUCUGAUGCUAGUGUACCAAAUAUGGAUGUGGUUAUUAAUGUUCCGGUCUCAGGAGGCAUCAGUCUAAUGCCCUCUUCUCUUAGUCAAGUAGACACCUCUGUUUUUCAACAAUUGCCUGAGGAGUUUCUCGCAAAGUUGAAAUAGUUGCUAGAUACUCCUAAUGAACAACUCUGGCCUGGGGUGAGCAAAUUAGUUAACUGGCACGAAUACCUCCAAUGGAAACCACAAUCACUCUCAACUGUUGUACCUGGUCUAGCUGAAGAUGGACAUAAUUAUGUGUUUAGAUGUUGCUAUAUUUGGUAUUGUGGAUGUUUAGAUUUUGCUAUCUAUAUAUAUGGGUUCUUUUAUAUGAAUGUUGGAUAUUUUAAGAAGA